GACGAACGCUGUCGGCGUGCUUAACACAUGCAAGUCGAACGGAAAGGCCCUGCUUUUGUGGGGUGCUCGAGUGGCGAACGGGUGAGUAACACGUGAGUAACCUGCCCUUGACUUUGGGAUAACUUCAGGAAACUGGGGCUAAUACCGGAUAGGAGCUCCUGCUGCAUGGUGGGGGUUGGAAAGUUUCGGCGGUUGGGGAUGGACUCGCGGCUUAUCAGCUUGUUGGUGGGGUAGUGGCUUACCAAGGCUUUGACGGGUAGCCGGCCUGAGAGGGUGACCGGCCACAUUGGGACUGAGAUACGGCCCAGACUCCUACGGGAGGCAGCAGUGGGGAAUAUUGCACAAUGGGCGGAAGCCUGAUGCAGCAACGCCGCGUGCGGGAUGACGGCCUUCGGGUUGUAAACCGCUUUCGCCUGUGACGAAGCGUGAGUGACGGUAAUGGGUAAAGAAGCACCGGCUAACUACGUGCCAGCAGCCGCGGUGAUACGUAGGGUGCGAGCGUUGUCCGGAUUUAUUGGGCGUAAAGGGCUCGUAGGUGGUUGAUCGCGUCGGAAGUGUAAUCUUGGGGCUUAACCCUGAGCGUGCUUUCGAUACGGGUUGACUUGAGGAAGGUAGGGGAGAAUGGAAUUCCGGGUGGAGCGGUGGAAUGCGCAGAUAUCAGGAGGAACACCAGUGGCGAAGGCGGUUCUCUGGGCCUUUCCUGACGCUGAGGAGCGAAAGCGUGGGGAGCGAACAGGCUUAGAUACCCUGGUAGUCCACGCUGUAAACGGUGGGUACUAGGUGUGGGGUCCAUUCCACGGGUUCCGUGCCGUAGCUAACGCUUUAAGUACCCCGCCUGGGGAGUACGGCCGCAAGGCUAAAACUCAAAGGAAUUGACGGGGCCCCGCACAAGCGGCGGAGCAUGCGGAUUAAUUCGAUGCAACGCGUAGAACCUUACCUGGGUUUGACAUGGAUCGGGAGUGCUCAGAGAUGGGUGUGCCUCUUUUGGGGUCGGUUCACAGGUGGUGCAUGCCUGUCGUCAGCUCGUGUCGUGAGAUGUUGGGUUAAGUCCCGCAACGAGCGCAACCCUUGUUCACUGUUGCCAGCACGUUAUGGUGGGGACUCAGUGGAGACCGCCGGGGUCAACUCGGAGGAAGGUGGGGAUGACGUCAAGUCAUCAUGCCCCUUAUGUCCAGGGCUUCACGCAUGCUACAAUGGCUGGUACAGAGAGUGGCGAGCCUGUGAGGGUGAGCGAAUCUCGGAAAGCCGGUCUCAGUUCGGAUUGGGGUCUGCAACUCGACCUCAUGAAGUCGGAGUCGCUAGUAAUCGCAGAUCAGCAACGCUGCGGUGAAUACGUUCCCGGGGCU
rnacentral:rRNA from 1 species